rnacentral:lncRNA from 1 species
UGGGAGGCCAAGGCAGGCGGAUCACCUGAGGCCAGGAGUUCGAGAACAGCCUGGCCAACAUGAUGAAACCCCAUCCAUACUAAAAAUACAAAAAUUAGCUGGGUGUGGUGGCGCACACCUGUAAUCCCAGCUACUUGGGAGGCUGAGGCAGGAGAAUCACUUGAACCCGGGAGUUAGAGGUUGCAGUGAGCUGAGAUCGUGCCA